rnacentral:rRNA from 1 species
ACCUACGGGGCGCAGCAGUGGGGAAUAUUGCACAAUGGGGGGAACCCUGAUGCAGCGACGCCGCGUGGGUGAAGGAGUACUUCGGUACGUAAAGCCCUAUCAGCAGGAAAGAAAAUGACGGUACCUGACUAAGAAGCCCCGGCUAACUACGUGCCAGCAGCCGCGGUAAUACGUAGGGGGCAAGCGUUAUCCGGAUUUACUGGGUGUAAAGGGAGGGUAGACGGCAGUGCAAGUCCGGAGGGAAAGCCCGGGGCUCAACCCUGGGAAUGGUCCGGAAACUGUAAAGCUGGAGGGCGGGAGGGGGG